rnacentral:lncRNA from 10 species
CAACCUGUCAGAUGCCACCAUAGCUAAGGAAGACGCCGAAUCAAAAAGCAGCAACGAUCCCUAAUCCCUGUGGGUCAGAGGCACCCCGGAGGUCCUUUUGGGUGACCCUUUGGUUGUCCCAGGCAGUGACCAGCGGCCAGGUUUAUUAUAAAGGACUUACAAAGGACAAAGACGAAGAGACACAUAGGGCAAGGUACCAGGGAAGGGGCACAGAGCUUCCAUGCCCUCCCUGGGCGCAUCACUCUACAGGAACCUCCCUGUGUUCAGCUAUCCAGAAGCUCUCCAAACUCCAUCCUCUUGGGCUUUAAUGGAAGCUUCGCAAGGUCAGCAUUCCUUCCCCCAGGGUAUGCGGUGGGGCCCUCUCUGGAGAACCCCAGUUAAUUUUUAAAUAUUAAAAUAAAAAUGCUGGCCAGGCACAGUGACUCACACCUGUAAUCCCAGCACUUUAGGAGGCUGAGGCAGGGGGAUCACUUGAAGUCAGGAAUUCAAGACCAGUCUGACCAGCACGGUGAAACCCCAUCUCUACUAAAAAUACAAAAUUUAGCCAGCUGUGGUGGUGCGUGCCUGUAAUCCCAGCUGCUUGGGAGGCUGAGGCAGGAGAGUCAUCUGAAUCCUGGAGACAGAUGUUGCAGUGAGCUGAGAUUGCACCACUGCACUUCAUCCAGCCUGGGGUGACAGAACGAGACUCCGUUUCAAAAAAAUAAAAGAAUGAAAAUGCUAUGUGGAACAAAAAUUGUAUUCAUUUUUGAAACAAGUUUGUUUAAAUGAAAUGAAAUCCCAAGCAAACAACAAAGCUGUUUCUGAGGAGUGAAAGACCUUUUUUGCUUAAUUCUUCCCAUAGGAGAAAAUUCUUUGAAAUAUUUUCUUGCAAUUCGAUAAAAAUGGAAAGACCCAGCAUGUAGGUAGGGCUGCUUGAUUAUUGCAAUGGAGGGAGGGAAGAUGGGGAAGCACAUGCAGCCCUUCUGUGCACCAGGCUCCAGGUGUGAGGACUCUCAUAGCACCAUUUGUGCAACGACGGAUUCGGCCUACUGACAAGGUUUUGAGGAUUUCCCUACUCUGCUAUGUGGAAAUGGAGACACUCAACAUCUCCUUAUAAAAUAUCUUGUGCCAGCCCUCAAGAUACAUGAAGCUGUGGGCCCUCAGAAACAUCUGGCUCAGCAGAAAUGACUGCAGGGUCUGCCUCUGAAGCCCAGCGUUUCUACUCCAUUUGGGAUAUUCCACACAGGAAGAGAAUUGGAAAUGCUGGAGGUAAGAGCUUUGGCAAUCGCUCUCCAAAAACCCUUGGAAACUCAAGUCAGCUUUGGCUGGGGAAGGGUACACAUUAGCUAUCUCUUCCAUACCCACCCAGUCCUUCCUGUUUCUGUUCAUUCUUCUUAUUCUUUCUAAUCCACACCUGCUCCCUCAGUCACACUUUCAGCCUCUGCCCUCUCCUGCUGACAGAGGGCUGUGAUCUCCCCUCCUCCCCAGGCUCCCCACGUCAGGCCGUCCUCCAGGAGUGGCUAUCCAUCUCUAAGGGCUUUCCGGACUGCUGCCCAGCAACUUCAACAGGCACCUCUAAUCGACGACCUCUCCUGCCUCCGCUGGUGUAGGGACGCCAGGCUUCUGAACAGCACUGCUCUCCUCAUUUGCCUUCAAGCUGGCCUAUCUUUCCUGCUGGUGGUGGUGGGCAGAGGCAAGGGUGUGGUCAGCUUUGAAAGAGAUUCCAUUCUUGGAAUAAAGUGAUCUAGCAAACAAAGUCUUCAAAAAAAAAAUACAUGAGGGGAAAAACAAUAAGCUGAACAUGAGCAGAAAACACAUUUUCUUGCAUUUGUGGUCAUCUUCUAUGAAGCACAGUAAGAAUCUUUGGAAGCCAGUCUUCAGGGCAAAAGGAUGGAGGAUGCAGCAUCAUGAGUAUCCAGAGAGUCAGGAUGAAGUUGUUCUUGGGAACUGCAGAGACAAGCAGUUCUAUAUGGUUUCAACACAAAUGGGCUAGGAAGAACCCUGGCACCGUGAGCAAUAAUAGUGUCACUACCUUUUUCUAGAGGUGGGAGACAAAAACUUAGCCAGACACAUUCAACAGUAAGACUCAACAAAGAAUCUUCAUAUUCAUGGACAGAAACUAAAUCUGCCACAUUUCUAGUAAGGUUCUUUCUUGGUUAAUUAAAUGUAUUAAUCUCUUCCAAUUUCUAUGUGCUAUUUGUCCUCAUUCCCCAAAGAUUAUGGCUUAGCUCAGUGUCUGCAGGUGAUUGUUCUUCUCUUGUUGCAGGUAAAAUCAUCCACGAUGCCCUCCAAUAUCAUUCCCAAUCAGUUUCCUGUUUCCCCUUCUCUUGCAGAAGCUCUGGAAGCCCACAGAGAACAGAUGCAUAAACACCAUUUACCAGACACAGCUCAGCAAACCCUCUCUCUCUUCCUUCCAGCAGCUUGGUUGUCCUCAAGGAGUUCCUAAAUUUCAUACUUCUGAGGGUUAUAUGGGAUGGUGAGGGGUGGAGGAGAGUAGCACGGAUUGAAAAAUACAUUAAUGUUGGCUGGGCACAGUGGCUCACACCUGUAAUCCCAGCGCUUUGGGAGGCCGAGGCUGGUAGAUCACCUGAGGUCAGGAGUUUGAGACCAGCCUGGCCAACAUGGCGAAACCCCAUCUCUACUAAAAAUACAAAAUUUAGCUGGGUGUGAUGGCACAUGCUUGUAAUCCCAGCUACUCAGGAGGCUGAGGCAGGAGAAUCGCUUGAACCCAGGAAGCGGAGGUUGCAGUGAGCUGAGAUUGCAGCAUUGCACUCCAGCCUGGGCAACAAGAGAGAUGCUCCAUCUUAAAAAAAAAAAGAAAAAUACAUUAAAGUGUACCAAAAUAAAUAUAUGACAGCUUUUAAAUUAUUUUCCAUGGGAAAAAAACUUAUAAUUAGUGACAAUUACUUACUGAGGGCCUGCUGGGCUAGACAUUAUGGACAUUGUGAAAGAUAAAAAGUUCAAGACACAGACUCUGUUUUCAGGAUGUGUACGCUUUAAAUAUGAAGUUAACACAGGGCAGAAAAGUAGAUACACACAUGCACACACAUACCUAUACACACAUACCUACACACACACACACACACACACACACACACAAAUACUCCUCAGACCCAAAGGACGGAGACAUCACAAUGAACAAGAUGAACAAUUGGUAGGAUUUUAAAAGACUAUUUUCUUUUUCAGCAAGGAGGAUGGAGUGGGCAGGUAGGGGAUGGUAUUUAUUUCCCAAGCAAAUCAAUUAGAAAAAAUAUUUGUAUUUCAGUAAAUUUAUUUUUUUCAAUCUUCAGAUAUAAGAAGGCUUUUCCAUGAAAAACACUCUAUUUA